AGGGAGGGGCUGUGCAGUUUAUCUUUCAGAAGUUCGUGGCUGGACCCGGGGGGCUUUGCAGAGGAAAUGAGCGUCUGCAGCACAGCCCUGGAUUUUUUUGUUUUUUGUUUUGUUUUGUUUUUUAAGACAGAAUCUCAUUGCGUAUCUCUGGCUGUCCUGGAACUCAACAGCGAUCCACCUAUCCCUACAACUCUUGCUUGCGGGGCUGGGGUUGGGGGUCACAGAACAGAAAGACAGGAAAAGAUCACUGGAAAGAAAACUUUUAUUAGGUCAGAUGCUUCAAAACCAGAGGAGACAGCACAGAGUGUGGAGAGGUCUUAGCUGAGUCACAGAACAGCUACAAAUGAUGGGGGCACUGGGAGAAAAGCAAAGAACAGAUCUGGAAUCUUGAAGCAACACCAACCCCAUGCUGAUGUCCCUGGUGUGUUUCCAGAGUUCCGAUUGACUCCUACCCCUGGUGCUCAUGUUAACGAGAACCCAGUCUCUUAUUUGAUUUUUCUGUAUGGUUUGCCUUGGAAGAUACUUCCUGUCCUUGAUUCCAGGGACCUGUAGUUUCUCUUGCUUUUUUCCUCCCUUUGUGGCCAUUCCUUCCUGCUUCCUUUGAGGAUUUUUCUCCUCCACAAAGUGAUCACCGUGCAAUACACUUGACCCCUCAGCUGAACUCUGGAUGUUUCCAGAUGUGCCAUGGGUAUUUCUAAUUCACUCUAUCCACAUGAACUUGUCACUCUCUGUGUCCCCUCUUGUGAGUGGCAACACCCCCAGAAACCGGUUUUUACGGUUUAAUUCUUAGUUCCCCCUCACCACACUCUCCUCAUUACCAACCUGGUGAUUUAAGACUAAUGAAGAAAUUGUUCAGAACUGAGAAAUUUCACACAAUCCAAACCCUCCAAAGACAUCUAGCCAUUGAACAUGUGUUUCACAAGCUCCUCUGUACAACACACUAUUUAAAUGGAAACACUCAGGUUUUAUACUGAAAGAAAUACAUGCUGGUGCAUUAUCAUUUCGUUAAAUAAUUCCAUAGCAGUAAGCACUGAGAAGAAUUAUAUAUAAAAUUCAAACUAGUGAAUGCACCAGAGUGCUGAGAUGUGUUUAUUUGAUACCUCAUUGUAUGCAAUGUAGAUAAAAAUCAGGAAGAAACACAAGA